GCUCAUCGCAUCCUGGGGCUGUAGUCGGUCCCAAGGGUUGGGCUGUUCGCCCAUUAAAGCGGUACGCGAGCUGGGUUCAGAACGUCGUGAGACAGUUCGGUCCCUAUCCGUCGUGGGCGUAGGAAAUUUGAGAGGAGCUGUCCUUAGUACGAGAGGACCGGGAUGGACAUACCUCUGGUGUACCAGUUGUCGUGCCAACGGCAUAGCUGGGUAGCUAUGUGUGGACGGGAUAAGUGCUGAAAGCAUCUAAGCAUGAAGCCCCCCUCAAGAUGAGAUUUCCCAACUUCGGUUAUAAGAUCCCUCAAAGAUGAUGAGGUUAAUAGGUUCGAGGUGGAAGCAUGGUGACAUGUGGAGCUGACGAAUACUAAUCGAUCGAAGACUUAAUCAAAA
rnacentral:rRNA from 1 species